GACGAACGCUGGCGGCGUGCUUAACACAUGCAAGUCGAACGGAAAGGCCCUGCUCUUGUGGGGUGCUCGUGUGGCGAACGGGUGAGUAACACGUGAGUAACCUGCCCUUGUCUUUGGGAUAACUUCAGGAAACUGGGGCUAAUACCGGAUAGGAGCUCCUGCUGCAUGGUGGGGGUUGGAAAGAUACGGCGGUUGGGGAUCGACUCGCGGCUUAUGAGCUUGUUGGUGGGGUAGUGGCUUACCAAGGCUGUGACGGGUAGCCGGCCUGAGAGGGUGACCGGCGACAAUGGGACUGAGAGACGGCGCAGACUCGUACGGGAGGCAGCAGGGGGGAAUAUUGCACAAUGGGCGGAAGCCUGAUGCAGCAACGCCGCGUGCGGGAUGACGGCCUUCGGGUUGUAAACCGCUUUCGCCUGUGACGAAGCGUGAGUGACGGUAAUGGGUAAAGAAGCACCGGCUAACUACGUG
rnacentral:rRNA from 1 species